CGGCUGCGGCGGUGACGGCGGCGACGGAGGAGGCAGGCGGUGGGGCGGGGGCGGGGACUAAGGAUUCUGAGGUGGGGAGUCGGGAGUUUCUGGAUUCUUUAUCCGGAAUUUCAAGGGCCGCCGGAGGGCUGUCGCUUCUGCAGUGCGUAGGAGCGGCCGGGGCGGGAGGCUCCGCGGAGCCGAGGCGUGGAGAUUUUAAGUUUCUUAAGGAUACGGACUCUGCCUCAGCAGCCUUUUUCUUGACAAUGACUAUCCAAGUUUUUGGUACCAAGUGGGUACUCGCCUUGUUGAAUGAAAAGAAUAAGAAAGCCUUGAGUUUUGUGAAAAACCGGAGAAGAGAAACUAAAAGGACAGUAGAAAAGG
rnacentral:lncRNA from 1 species